GAGAGAGAGAGAGCUACAAAGAAACUCUUCUGACUGAGAAGCCAUGCAGACGCAGUUGACUCUUCCACAUACCUCAAGGAGAUCGAGAAGGCCCCUCGAGACCUUGGCGCUCUAAUUUCCUAGGAGAAAUGCGCUCCUUUUAUGCUUCGUUUAGCAGGGACUUCUUAGGCAGGCGGCAUGAUGCUGGUACUUGUGAUGCUAAAACGAAAACAAAGAACUGCAAACAAGGAACUGAAAAUUGCAGUUGAUUUCUGAGAAGAACCUGUGAAGACUGGACAUCCAAAAAUCACAUAUGCAGCAGACCUGAACCAGAAAUGGGAGGCAGUCUCUCGUGACUCUCUGAAUCGAUGAGGUUGACGGCGAUACGGAAGUGGCAAAAGUAGACAAUAUUUGCUAGUGGUAAAUUUGGACUGUUUACAAAUGGUAUCAGAGCCAGACACCGGACAUUGUGAGAUCCUCCAUUGGUUGGAGAGCGGAAUGAAGCACUUUUUGUAAGGGUGUGGAAAUCUCACCCUAACAUACGUGUUUUAAAACCAUGAGGCUAACGGUGAUACGUAACGGGUCAAAGCAAAUAAUAUCUAUGUUAGCAGUGACUUUGGGCUAUUAGAAAUGAUAUCAGAGCAAGACACUGGUGUGCCAGUGAGAACG